rnacentral:rRNA from 1 species
CACGUAGGGCGCAAGCGUUGUCCGGAAUUAUUGGGCGUAAAGAGCUCGUAGGCGGUCUGUUGCGUCCGCUGUGAAAACCCGGGGCUUAACCCCUGGCUUGCAGUGGAUACGGACAGACUAGAGGUAGGUAGGGGAGAAUGGAAUUCCCGGUGUGGCGGUGAAAUGCGCAGAUAUCAGGAGGAACACCGGUGGCGAAGGCGGGUCUCUGGGCCGAUACUGACGCUGAGGAGCGAAGGCGUGGGGAGCGAACAGG